rnacentral:rRNA from 1 species
UACGGAGGGUGCGAGCGUUGUCCGGAAUCACUGGGCGUAAAGGGUGCGUAGGCGGUUUGGUAAGUCUGAUGUGAAAUCUAUGGGCUCAACUCAUAGUCUGCAUCGGAAACUGCCGGGCUUGAGUGUGGGAGAGGUGAGUGGAAUUCCCGGUGUAGCGGUGAAAUGCGUAGAUAUCGGAAGGAACACCUGUGGCGAAAGCGGCUCACUGGACCAUUACUGACGCUGAUGCACGAAAGCUAGGGGAGCAAACAGG